CCGUCCCCACUCUCCAGGGUUAUAGAAAGGAAAUAUCUACCGUCCCCACUCUCCAGGGUUACAGAAAGGAAAUAUCACCGUCCCCAACUCUGAAAGGUUACAGAAAGGAAAUAUCUACCGUCCCCACUCUGAAAGGUUAUAGAAAGGAAAUAUCUACCGUCCCCACUCUGAAAGGUUAUAGAAAGAAAAUAUCUACCGUCCCCACUCUGAAAGGUUAUAGAAAGGAAACAUCUACCGUCCCCAACUCCCCAGGGU